UGCAGUCGAGCGGGGGAAGGUAGCUUGCUACCGGACCUAGCGGCGGACGGGUGAGUAAUGCUUAGGAAUCUGCCUAUUAGUGGGGGACAACAUUCUCGAAAGGGAUGCUAAUACCGCAUACGUCCUACGGGAGAAAGCAGGGGAUCUUCUGGACCUUGCGCUAAUAGAUGAGCCUAAGUCGGAUUAGCUAGUUGGUGGGGUAAAGGCCUACCAAGGCGACGAUCUGUAGCGGGUCUGAGAGGAUGAUCCGCCACACUGGGACUGAGACACGGCCCAGACUCCUACGGGAGGCAGCAGUGGGGAAUAUUGGACAAUGGGGGGAACCCUGAUCCAGCCAUGCCGCGUGUGUGAAGAAGGCCUUAUGGUUGUAAAGCACUUUAAGCGAGGAGGAGGCUACUCUAGUUAAUACCUAGGGAUAGUGGACGUUACUCGCAGAAUAAGCACCGGCUAACUCUGUGCCAGCAGCCGCGGUAAUACAGAGGGUGCGAGCGUUAAUCGGAUUUACUGGGCGUAAAGCGUGCGUAGGCGGCUUAUUAAGUCGGAUGUGAAAUCCCCGAGCUUAACUUGGGAAUUGCAUUCGAUACUGGUGAGCUAGAGUAUGGGAGAGGAUGGUAGAAUUCCAGGUGUAGCGGUGAAAUGCGUAGAGAUCUGGAGGAAUACCGAUGGCGAAGGCAGCCAUCUGGCCUAAUACUGACGCUGAGGUACGAAAGCAUGGGGAGCAAACAGGAUUAGAUACCCUGGUAGUCCAUGCCGUAAACGAUGUCUACUAGCCGUUGGGGCCUUUGAGGCUUUAGUGGCGCAGCUAACGCGAUAAGUAGACCGCCUGGGGAGUACGGUCGCAAGACUAAAACUCAAAUGAAUUGACGGGGGCCCGCACAAGCGGUGGAGCAUGUGGUUUAAUUCGAUGCAACGCGAAGAACCUUACCUGGCCUUGACAUACUAGAAACUUUCCAGAGAUGGAUUGGUGCCUUCGGGAAUCUAGAUACAGGUGCUGCAUGGCUGUCGUCAGCUCGUGUCGUGAGAUGUUGGGUUAAGUCCCGCAACGAGCGCAACCCUUUUCCUUACUUGCCAGCAUUUCGGAUGGGAACUUUAAGGAUACUGCCAGUGACAAACUGGAGGAAGGCGGGGACGACGUCAAGUCAUCAUGGGCCCUUACGGCCAGGGCUACACACGUGCUACAAUGGUCGGUACAAAGGGUUGCUACACAGCGAUGUUGAUGCUAAUCUCAAAAAGCCGAUCGUAGUCCGGGAUUGGAGUCUGCAACUCGACUCCAUGAAGUCGGAAUCGCUAGUAAUUACGCGAGAUCAGAAUGCCGCGGUGAAUACGUUCCCGGGCCUUGUACACACCGCCCGUCACACCAUGGGAGUUUGUUGCACCAGAAGUAGCUAGCCUAACUGCAAAGAGGGCG
rnacentral:rRNA from 1 species